rnacentral:rRNA from 1 species
CAAUUUAAAAGGUCUUUGCACCUAUAAAUCAUUAUACAACUUUCAGCAACGGAUCUCUUGGCUCUCGCAUCGAUGAAGAACGCAGCGAAAUGCGAUAAGUAAUGUGAAUUGCAGAAUUCAGUGAAUCAUCGAAUCUUUGAACGCAUCUUGCGCUCCUU